rnacentral:rRNA from 1 species
CUUAAGCAUAUCAAUAAGCGGAGGAAAAGAAACCAACAGGGAUUGCCUCAGUAACGGCGAGUGAAGCGGCAAGAGCUCAAAUUUGAAAGCUGGCCCCCUCGGGGUCCGCAUUGUAAUUUGCAGAGGAUGCUUCGGGAGCGGCCCCCAUCUAAGUGCCCUGGAACGGGCCGUCAUAGAGGGUGAGAAUCCCGUCUGGGAUGGGGUGUCCGCGCCCGUGUGAAGCUCCUUCGACGAGUCGAGUUGUUUGGGAAUGCAGCUCUAAAUGGGUGGUAAAUUUCAUCUAAAGCUAAAUACUGGCCGGAGACCGAUAGCGCACAAGUAGAGUGAUCGAAAGAUGAAAAGCACUUUGAAAAGAGAGUUAAACAGCACGUGAAAUUGUUGAAAGGGAAGCGCUUGCGACCAGACUCGCUCGCGGGGUUCAGCCGGCAUUCGUGCCGGUGUACUUCCCCGCGAGCGGGCCAGCGUCGGUUUGGGCGGCCGGUCAAAGGCCCUCGGAAUGUAACGCCCCCCGGGGCGUCUUAUAGCCGAGGGUGCCAUGCGGCCAGCCCGGACCGAGGAACGCGCUUCGGCUCGGACGCUGGCAUAAUGGUCGUAAGCGACCCGUCUUGAAACACGGACCAAGGAGUCUAACAUCUACGCGAGUGUUCGGGUGUCAAACCCGUGCGCGCAGUGAAAGCGAACGGAGGUGGGAACCCCUCGGGGUGCACCAUCGACCGAUCCUGAUGUCUUCGGAUGGAUUUGAGUAAGAGCGUAGCUGUUGGGACCCGAAAGAUGGUGAACUAUGCCUGAAUAGGGCGAAGCCAGAGGAAACUCUGGUGGAGGCUCGCAGCGGUUCUGACGUGCAAAUCGAUCGUCAAAUUUGGGUAUAGGGGCGAAAGACUAAUCGAACCAUCUAGUAGCUGGUUCCUGCCGAAUUU